rnacentral:rRNA from 1 species
AACGAACGCUGGCGGCAUGCCUAACACAUGCAAGUCGAACGAGAUCUUCGGGUCUAGUGGCGCACGGGUGCGUAAUGCGUGGGAAUCUGCCCUUUGGUUCGGAAUAACAGUUGGAAACGACUGCUAAUACCGGAUGAUGACGAAAGUCCAAAGAUUUAUCGCCAGAGGAUGAGCCCGCGUAGGAUUAGCUAGUUGGUGUGGUAAAGGCGCACCAAGGCGACGAUCCUUAGCUGGUCUGAGAGGAUGAUCAGCCACACUGGGACUGAGACACGGCCCAGACUCCUACGGGAGGCAGCAGUGGGGAAUAUUGGACAAUGGGCGAAAGCCUGAUCCAGCAAUGCCGCGUGAGUGAUGAAGGCCUUAGGGUUGUAAGGCUCUUUUACCCGGGAUGAUAAUGACAGUACCGGGAGAAUAAGCUCCGGCUAACUCCGUGCCAGCAGCCGCCGUAAGAC